rnacentral:rRNA from 1 species
GAUGAACGCUGGCGGCGUGCCUAAUACAUGCAAGUCGAGCGAACAGACGAGGAGCUUGCUCCUCUGACGUUAGCGGCGGACGGGUGAGUAACACGUGGAUAACCUACCUAUAAGACUGGGAUAACUUCGGGAAACCGGAGCUAAUACCGGAUAAUAUAUUGAACCGCAUGGUUCAAUAGUGAAAGACGGUUUUGCUGUCACUUAUAGAUGGAUCCGCGCCGCAUUAGCUAGUUGGUAAGGUAACGGCUUACCAAGGCAACGAUGCGUAGCCGACCUGAGAGGGUGAUCGGCCACACUGGAACUGAGACACGGACCAGACGCCUGAGGGAGGCAGCAGUAGGGAAUCUGCCGCAAUGGGCGAAAGCUUGACGGAGCAACGCCGCGUGAGUGAUGAAGGUCUUCGGAUCGUAAAACUCUGUUAUUAGGGAAGAACAAAUGUGUAAGUAACUAUGCACGUCUUGACGGUACCUAAUCAGAAAGCCACGGCUAACUACGUG